CCAGAUGUGGAAAAAAAGCACAUUGUUAUUUUACCUGACUACAGUACUAGGACACAAAAAACUUCUGAACAUCCAAAUAUUCCAAAUCGGCUACAAGAUCCUGGUACAUCAGAGAAACGUGCUAUAAGAAAAAGAUUGGACAAUGAAGAAGAUAGUGACUCUCCUUGGGAUUCAGAGGAAUAUAUAUCGGACCCAGAUGUGGAAAAAAAGCACAUUGUUAUUUUACCUGACUACAGUACUAGGACACAAAAAACUUCUGAACAUCCAAAUAUUCCAAAUCGGCUACAAGAUCCUGGUACAUCAGAGAAACGUGCUAUAAGAAAAAGAGUGGACAAAGAAGAAGAUAGCGACUCUCCUUGGGAUUCAGAGGUAUUAUUUCAUUUUGAAAGUU